GGGUAGAGCACUGUUUCGGCUAGGGGGCCAUCCCGGCUUACCAACCCGAUGCAAACUGCGAAUACCGGAGAAUGUUAUCACGGGAGACACACGGCGGGUGCUAACGUCCGUCGUGAAGAGGGAAACAACCCAGACCGCCAGCUAAGGUCCCAAAGUCAUGGUUAAGUGGGAAACGAUGUGGGAAGGCCCAGACAGCCAGGAUGUUGGCUUAGAAGCAGCCAUCAUUUAAAGAAAGCGUAAUAGCUCACUGGUCGAGUCGGCCUGCGCGGAAGAUGUAACGGGGCUAAACCAUGCACCGAAGCUGCGGCAGCGAACGUAUCACUUAAAGCGAUUCAGCGGGUUACGAUUGACGGAGCGAAGCGACGUCAAAGCGUAUACAAAGUCGAGUCGGUUUAAGGAUACGUUCGUUGGGUAGGGGAGCGUUCUGUAAGCCUGCGAAGGUGGCCUGUGAGGGUUGCUGGAGGUAUCAGAAGUGCGAAUGCUGACAUAAGUAACGAUAAAGCGGGUGAAAAGCCCGCUCGCCGGAAGACCAAGGGUUCCUGUCCAACGUUAAUCGGGGCAGGGUGAGUCGACCCCUAAGGCGAGGCCGAAAGGCGUAGUCGAUGGGAAACGGGUUAAUAUUCCCGUACUUGGUGUUACUGCGAAGGGGGGACGGAGAAGGCUAUGUUGGCCGGGCGACGGUUGUCCCGGUUUAAGCGUGUAGGUGUGUGUUCCAGGUAAAUCCGGUUCACUUUAACACUGAGGCGUGACGACGAGGCACUACGGUGCUGAAGCAACAAAUGCCCUGCUUCCAGGAAAAGCCUCUAAGCAUCAGGUAACAUCAAAUCGUACCCCAAACCGACACAGGUGGUCAGGUAGAGAAUACCAAGGCGCUUGAGAGAACUCGGGUGAAGGAACUAGGCAAAAUGGUGCCGUAACUUCGGGAGAAGGCACGCUGACACGUAGGUGAAGUGAUUUACUCAUGGAGCUGAAGUCAGUCGAAGAUACCAGCUGGCUGCAACUGUUUAUUAAAAACACAGCACUGUGCAAACACGAAAGUGGACGUAUACGGUGUGACGCCUGCCCGGUGCCGGAAGGUUAAUUGAUGGGGUCAGCGCAAGCGAAGCUCCUGAUCGAAGCCCCGGUAAACGGCGGCCGUAACUAUAACGGUCCUAAGGUAGCGAAAUUCCUUGUCGGGUAAGUUCCGACCUGCACGAAUGGCGUAAUGAUGGCCAGGCUGUCUCCACCCGAGACUCAGUGAAAUUGAACUCGCUGUGAAGAUGCAGUGUACCCGCGGCAAGACGGAAAGACCCCGUGAACCUUUACUAUAGCUUGACACUGAACAUUGAGCCUUGAUGUGUAGGAUAGGUGGGAGGCUUUGAAGUGUGGACGCCAGUCUGCAUGGAGCCGACCUUGAAAUACCACCCUUUAAUGUUU
rnacentral:rRNA from 1 species